rnacentral:rRNA from 1 species
GAUGAACGCUGGCGGCGUGCCUAAUACAUGCAAGUCGAACGAGGUGCUUUUGUAGCAAUACGAGAGUAUCCUAGUGGCGAACGGGUGAGUAACGCGUUGGUGACCUACCCCAAAGUGUGGGAUAACAGUCCGAAAGGAUUGCUAAUACCGCAUGUGGUCUUCGGAUUUAGAAACUGAUGACUAAAGGAGCAAUUCGCUUUGGGAGGGACCUGCGUCCCAUCAGCUAGUUGGUGAGGUAAUGGCUCACCAAGGCUACGACGGGUAGGGGACCUGAGAGGGUGACCCCCCACAAUGGAACUGAAACACGGUCCAUACACCUACGGGUGGCAGCAGUAGGGAAUAUUGCACAAUGGGCGAAAGCCUGAUGCAGCAACGCCGCGUGUGCGAUGAAGGCCUUCGGGUCGUAAAGCACUUUUCUGGGAGUAUGAGCAAGGACAGUAUCUCAGGAAUAAGUCUCGGCUAACUACAUGCC